UACGUAGGGUGCGAGCGUUGUCCGGAAUUAUUGGGCGUAAAGAGCUCGUAGGCGGUGUGUCGCGUCGGCCGUGAAAACCUGGGGCUUAACUCUGGGCGUGCGGUCGAUACGGGCAUCACUAGAGUUCGGCAGGGGAGACUGGAAUUCCUGGUGUAGCGGUGAAAUGCGCAGAUAUCAGGAGGAACACCGGUGGCGAAGGCGGCGACCUGGUCCAUUACUGACGCUGAGGCGCGACAGCGUGGGGAGCAAACAGG
rnacentral:rRNA from 1 species